GAUGAACGCUGGCGGCGUGCCUAAUACAUGCAAGUAGAACGCUGAAGCUUGGUGCUUGCACCGAGCGGAUGAGUUGCGAACGGGUGAGUAACGCGUAGGUAACCUGCCUGGUAGCGGGGGAUAACUAUUGGAAACGAUAGCUAAUACCGCAUAACAGUAGAUAUUGCAUGAUAUCUGCUUGAAAGGUGCUAAUGCAUCACUACCAGAUGGACCUGCGUUGUAUUAGCUAGUUGGUGAGGUAACGGCUCACCAAGGCGACGAUACAUAGCCGACCUGAGAGGGGGAACGGCCACCCUGGAAGUGAGACACGGCCCAGACUCCUAGGGGGGGCAGCAGUAGGGAAUCUUCGGGAAGGGGGGAAACCCGAACCGAGCAACGCCGCGUGAGUGAAGAAGGUUUUCGGAUCGGAAAGCUAUGUUGUAAGAGAAGAACGAAUGUGGGAGUAAAAAGUCCCAUCUUGACGGGACCUUUACAAAAAGGGACGGCCAACUACGGG
rnacentral:rRNA from 1 species